UGGGGAAUAUUGGGCAAUGGGCGCAAGCCUGACCCAGCAACGCCGCGUGAAGGAAGAAGGCCCUCGGGUUGUAAACUUCUUUUAUCAGGGACGAAGAAGUGACGGUACCUGAUGAAUAAGCCACGGCUAACUACGUGCCAGCAGCCGCGGUAAUACGUAGGUGGCAAGCGUUAUCCGGAUUUACUGGGUGUAAAGGGCGUGUAGGCGGGGUCGCAAGUCAGAUGUGAAAUUCCAUGGCUUAACCAUGGACCUGCAUUUGAAACUGUGAUUCUUGAGUGAUGGAGAGGCAGGCGGAAUUCCGUGUGUAGCGGUGAAAUGCGUAGAUAUACGGAGGAACACCAGUGGCGAAGGCGGCCUGCUGGACAUUAACUGACGCUGAGGCGCGAAAGCGUGGGGAGCAAACAGGAUUAGAUACCC
rnacentral:rRNA from 1 species